GGUAUGGUGGCCUAAUGGUUAUUGCAUUGGACUCUGGAUCGAUAUGUCCAGGUUCGAGCCCUGGCCAGGGUCA